rnacentral:rRNA from 2 species
GGGUUGUGAGGUUAAGCGACUAAGCGUACACGGUGGAUGCCCUGGCAGUCAGAGGCGAUGAAGGGCGUGCUAAUCUGCGAUAAGCGCCGGUAAGGUGAUAUGAACCGUUAUAACCGGCGAUACCCGAAUGGGGAAACCCAGUGUGACUCGUCACACUAUCAUUAACUGAAUCCAUAGGUUAAUGAGGCGAACCGGGGGAACUGAAACAUCUAAGUACCCCGAGGAAAAGAAAUCAACCGAGAUUCCCCCAGUAGCGGCGAGCGAACGGGGAGGAGCCCAGAGCCUGAAUCAGCAUGUGUGUUAGUGGAAGCGUCUGGAAAGGCGCGCGAUACAGGGUGACAGCCCCGUACACAAAAGCGCAUGUGCUGUGAGCUCGAUGAGUAGGGCGGGACACGUGGUAUCCUGUCUGAAUAUGGGGGGACCAUCCUCCAAGGCUAAAUACUCCUGACUGACCGAUAGUGAACCAGUACCGUGAGGGAAAGGCGAAAAGAACCCCGGCGAGGGGAGUGAAAAAGAACCUGAAACCGUGUACGUACAAGCA